rnacentral:rRNA from 1 species
UGGGGAAUAUUGCACAAUGGGCGAAAGCCUGAUGCAGCAACGCCGCGUGAGUGAUGAAGGCCUUCGGGGUUGUAAAGCUCUGUCUUUUGGGAUGAUAAUGACGGUACCAAAGGAGGAAGCCACGGCUAACUACGUGCCAGCAGCCGCGGUAAUACGUAGGUGGCAAGCGUUGUCCGGAUUUACUGGGCGUAAAGGAUGCGUAGGCGGAUUUUUAAGUGAGAUGUGAAAACCCUAAGCUUAACUUGGGGACUGCAUUUCAUACUGGAAAUCUAGAGUGCGGGAGAGGAGAAUGGAAUUCCUAGUGUAGCGGUGAAAUGCGUAGAGAUUAGGAAGAACACCAGUGGCGAAGGCGAUUCUCUGGACCGUAACUGACGCUGAGGCAUGAAAGCGUGGGUAGCAAACAGGAUUAGAUACCCUGGUAGUCCACGCCGUAAACGAUGAGUACUAGGUGUAGGAGGUAUCGACCCCUUCUGUGCCGCAGUUAACACAAUAAGUACUCCGCCUGGGAAGUACGACCGCAAGAUUAAAACUUAAAUGAAUUGACGGGGGUCAUAGCUG